AGGAGAGCUGCCGGAGGUCAUUG
rnacentral:rRNA from 1 species